rnacentral:rRNA from 1 species
CCUACGGGUGGCAGCAGUGGGGAAUAUUGCACAAUGGGGGAAACCCUGAUGCAGCAACGCCGCGUGAGAGAUGACGGCCUUCGGGUUGUAAAGCUCUUUCUUCAGGGACGUUAAUCACGGUACCUGAGGCGGAAGCCACGGCUCACUACGUGCCAGCAGCCGCGGUAAUACGUAGGUGGCGGGCGUUGUACGGAUUUACUGGGCGUAAAGGGAGCGUAGGCGGACUUUUAAGUGAGAUGUGAAAUACUCGGGCUAAACUUGAGUGCUGCAUUUCAAACUGGAAGACUAGAGGGCAGGAGAGGAGAAUGGAAUGCCUAGGGUAGCGGUGAAAUGCGUAGAGAUUAGGAAGAACACCGAUUGCGAAGGCAGCAUACCGGCGCCCGACUGACGCUGAGGCAGGAAAGCGUGGGGAUCGAACAGGAUUAGAUACCCCGGGUAGUC